CAGCCCGUACGCGACUGGCGAUAGGCGCCGAACCACAAGGUUCUGUGCGCCGAGGUGGGACAACCACCGGGAAGCGUGCCGCACAACCCUUGUGGGAAACUGCGUUCAGCCGUUCGCCUGGGCAGCCCUG
rfam:Burkholderiales bacterium RIFCSPLOWO2_12_FTLL_61_40 rifcsplowo2_12_scaffold_1375, whole genome shotgun sequence.